UCCGGUCCUCGGUAGUGGCUCCCGGACGACAACGGUCCGUGGGCCUCGAUCGAAGACCGCC
rfam:Cellulomonas sp. 73-92 SCNpilot_cont_500_bf_scaffold_189, whole genome shotgun sequence.